AGAUUAUAAUGGUGAUGGUUGGGCUGGUGGGCAUGGUUAUGGUGGCAGAGGUCGAGGCCGUCUAAGGGGCCGUUUCUUCCGAGGCCGAGGCCGUGGUCGAGGGCGAGGAUUUGGUGGUCAAUCAAGUGGAUACAAUGACUAUGGUGAAUUUGAAGCACUGCCUGCCCCUGGUCGUGGACGUGGUCGUUGGAGGGGAAGGGGCCGUGGGCGUGGUCGUGGUUUCAGAUCAGAUGGCCCUACCCGUCAGGCAGGAGCUGCCUGAGCAGCAUAUAUGGGAAAAACUAUAAUGUAGGUCUGCAGUUUGAAAAUGAUACAUGGAUGGCUGCUCUGCUCGUGUUGUCGUGAAUUUGGUGAUAUUUAUGGGUACUGUCGUAAAUUUGAAGUAUGUGAAAGUGUUGCAA
rnacentral:misc_RNA from 1 species